rnacentral:rRNA from 1 species
AGAGGGUGCGAGCGUUAAUCGGAGUUACUGGGCGUAAAGGGCGCGUAGGCGGUGAUAUGAGUGUGGUGUGAAAGCCCCGGGCUUAACCUGGGAAGCGCAUCGCAAACGAUAUGACUAGAGUAGAUGAGAGGGUGGCGGAAUUUCCGGUGUAGCGGUGAAAUGCGUAGAGAUCGGAAGGAACGUCAAUGGCGAAGGCAGCCACCUGGCAUCAUACUGACGCUGAGGCGCGAAAGCGUGGGGAGCGAACAGGAUUAGAUACCCUGGUAGUCCACGCUGUAAACGAUGAGUACUAAAGGUUGGUAGGGGAACCUAUCAGUCUUGAAGCUAACGCGAUAAGUACUCCGCCUGGGAAGUACGGCCGCAAGGUUG